ACUCAAAUGAAUUGACGGGGGCCCGCACAAGCGGAGGAACAUGUGGUUUAAUUCGAUGAUACGCGAGGAACCUUACCUGGGCUUAAAUGUGCUAUGACCGCCGAAGAAAUUUGGCUUCCCGCAAGGGCAGAGUACAAGGUGCUGCAUGGUUGUCGUCAGCUCGUGCCGUGAGGUGUCGGGUUAAGUCCCAUAACGAGCGCAACCCUUAUUGUCAGUUGCUAACAGGUCAUGCUGAGGACUCUGGCGAGACUGCCACCGUAAGGUGUGAGGAAGGUGGGGAUGACGUCAAAUCAGCACGGCCCUUAUGUCCAGGGCUACACACGUGUUACAAUGGCCAGUACAAAGGGCAGCUACCGGGUGACCGGAUGCUAAUCUCUAAAGCUGGUCUCAGUUCGGAUCGAAGUCUGCAACCCGACUUCGUGAAGCUGGAUUCGCUAGUAAUCGCGCAUCAGCCAUGGCGCGGUGAAUACGUUCCCGGGCCUUGUACACACCGCCCGU
rnacentral:rRNA from 1 species